GAAAUAGCUCAGUUGGGAGAGUGUUAGACUAUAGAUUGAAAAGUCCCUGGUUCGAUUCCGGUAAACCUUUUUUUCA
rnacentral:tRNA from 1 species